CCUACGGGUGGCAGCAGUGGGGAAUAUUGGGCAAUGGAGGCAACUCUGACCCAGCAACGCCGCGUGAAUGAUGAAGGUCUUCGGAUUGUAAAGCUCUGUGAUGGGGGAUGAACACAAUGAUGGUACCCCAAUCGCAAGCUACGGCUAACUACGUGACAGCAGCCGCCGUAAUACGUAGGUGGCAAGCGUUAUCCGGAAUGACUGGGCGUAAAGGGCGCGUAGGUGGUUUAGUAAGUUGGCGGUGUAAUUCCGGGGCUCAACCUCGGCGGGACCGCCAAAACUAGUAGACUAGAGUGCAGGAGAGGUGAGUGGAAUUCCAAGUGUAGCGGUGGAAUGCGUAGAUAUAAGGAGGAACAUCAGGGGCGAAGGCGACUUACUGGUCUGUAACUGACGCUGAGGCACGAAAGCGUGGGGAGCAAACAGGAUUAGAUACCCGGGUAGUC
rnacentral:rRNA from 1 species